AGGCAAAGCUUUGGUGCUAGAGGAAAUGAAGAAGAGCAAAAUGUUAAGGUCUAAGGUGUUAAGGCUUAAUUUUUUGUUUGGAUUCUAUUUUCUUCCCUCCCUUUCUAAUUUAUAUUAGUAUAUGUUUUGAUGAUCAAGGUUUGGAUUUUGGAGACAUGUCCUAGAGGGACACAAGCUUAGGGUUCGGUCACCAUCAAGAAAAUAAAAGCUUUUGAGGAAGUGGUCCUGUGCAGUUUGGGUUUUGUGCUUGGACCUGAGGUAAAGGAAAGGGAAAGUUGGACCACCCGUGAGUUGGAGAGCUUUAAGGACGGCAUGUACAUUUGCAGCUGCUCGACCGCCAUGGCCGAGGGAUCAACAGGGACUAGAGCCAAUCUUAAUUUUCCCGCUUAGGUUGGCUUACAUUGUAAUUAUUU